CUCGUUCACUGAACGCGCCCUCGGUGCAUUUACCCACAUUUCUCUCCUGAUGUACUCAACAACAGCCAGACUAUGUUUGACUUUACUUCACUGCGUGCCAUAUAAAAACACUAAGGUGUUAUUUAUUGAUGGCACCAUGCAAUGUUAUCAAUCCUUUCAAUAUGCACUGCUAGGAUAUGUGAUAAUGUCAGUUUUACCAUUUUGUAUGGUACCUUUCCUUGGUUCGUAUGUCCUAAACUUAGGUUUAAUAUCUGUCACUCAGUUUUGUCUAGGCUGUUUACUGCCUUUCCCAUUUUGCUGCUACUGGUUACGACUGUUGUUUCGCAAUCGUGCUGACGUCAAUGGAGACCACAGGCCUGGUCAAAAUGCAAUCCACAAGAAUCGUCUUGCAAUACUGCACGUUCUCUCGGGGCCGUUCCGUACCCACGGAGCCGUCGCGUGUUUUCCACGUUCUCAUCUCGCGUGGGAAGGUGUUUUGAUAUUACGCCGUUUAGUUCUUAUCUUAAUCUUCGCUUUCACAUACGACCGUCGCUGGCGUCCACUGUGUGCACUCACUGCAUGUGUAUUAAUACUGGUCAUACAUCUCUGUGUCAAGCCGUUCAGAAAGAGAUGGGAAAAUUGCUUAGAAACUGCAUCUUUGACAACAUUGGUUAUCUUCUGCGGAUUCACACUUGUCAAGGCACUGUAUCGAGGAGAAGAUUACUCAUCUCUGUAUACCAAGUCAACAUUUAUGCCCUCCAUUAAUAUGAUCGAGAGUGUUCUCAUUAUUUUACCAUUGGCUGCCAUUGUUGUUGUGGCGUUUAUUUUGCUAAUAACCAGACUGAUUAUUUUCUUGGGUAGGUGUUUCGUGUAAGCUACAGCACAAUAAAGUCGCAGUUCUCCGUUUUACAAGCUAAUGAAUAACUGCAUGCACUUCAACAUUUAAUUCUCAACUUAACACGUUGGUGAAGAAUUUUGGUAUAUUAUAUGUAUAUAAUUAUAAAGGAACUAAUAGUCUUAUGUUGAUGAAACAAAAUUUAAUCGUGUAUUGCAUAGGAAUGUAGUAGAUAUAUGGGUAUAAUACAAGAAAAACAACGGGAAUUUACUGUAUAUUGAAGUCCAUGACCUAAGGGACGGACCAUUAGAAAAGUGAUUGGGGGGGAGGGGGGGGGGGGUUAAUUUUUUUAUGUUUGUAUUUUUUCCCCAGGUUGUCAGCUGUGUAUGUAUGUUUUUUUUUAAAAAAUAUAUCUUCUCGCAUUUUAAACAAGUCUGAUGCAUGUAUUAUUUUUUUUUCAAACCCUUUUUGUUUGCAUGGAUUUUUUUCUGUUUUUCCCCACCCUCCCCAUCACUUUUCUAAUGGUCCGUCCCUAAAAAAGACGUUUUCCACCCAGUGGCGGACACUAGGGUAGGGGGUAGGCAACCGCCCCACCUCAAUAAUUACCGAAAACCUUUGAUUGAUAGCCGAUCGUGCAAUGGUAAGAAUAUUUUCAUUCGGUAUAAUACCAAAAUAGACUAAUAUUAAAAAGUUUAUUGUAAGCUCCCGCCAUUAUGACGAGUCGUAUUUGCAUUAAAUCCCAUUUACUGAGUUUCGAAUAUCGGGUUAAAAUAAACUGCGAUCACCGUACGAGAAGCAUUUUGACGGAUGCGAUUUAUCGAAAACACAAAGAGUGCAAUGGAAUAAAACGUAUAGUACAAUUGCGCAAUGGAACGUAUUCCAUUGCACUCUUGGGAAAUGGAAUUUUCUAUUCAAUAUCACGUGACCAUAAACAGUCAAUUAAACGAUCAGAAUUCAAUAAGGUAUUAUAUAAAUUAAACUACAUAUUGCAUGAAAUUUAAAGUAAACAAACUACGAUUUCCAUCAAUAAAAGUUGGUCAUACGGUGGCAACCUAAUCGCCCCCAAUAUUUCUGGAAGUGUCCACCACUGCUUCGAUCGUAAUAAAAACUUAGUAUUUUAUAUUGGCAGCCAGCAAAUUCGGAAUUGUCUAUCAAUAGAAAUGUUACCCAUCCCGUUUCAGUAUAAUAUUAAUUUGAUUUCAUUAGUAAGGGUGUUGCCGGAUUAAUGUAACUGGGCGUUUCAAGAAAAGAACGGCAAAGCAAGUUAAGGUCUAUUCAAACGGACCCAACAUUGUUCUUCCAAUACCAUCCAGCGAUU